CUGGUUUCUAGAUACAACAACUAUCCUCGAGUAACCCGGAAAGAUGAGUGAAAGAAGAAGCUCCCGAAGAUGAAGAGAAGGUGAAGGGGAAGGCUCCAUUAAUCUCAACACCAGAAAGAAUGCUCUCAACACCGGGAAGAAACAUUGGUGAAACUUCUAGGGCUUCUACUGCACGAAAGGACAGAUCUGGGUCUUCUUUAGAUGUUUAGUUGGUCUGGUUACUAAUCUAACUCUUAUCGUUUAGACAACAUUACCAAAUUCGGAGAUGGGAAAGGAACAAUUGUUGAUAGUGAUACAGCUUUGACAUAUCUUCAAGGAGCAAUUUUCAAUUCAUUGAGACGAAUGGCCUUGACAUAGCGAGGAAGUAGAGGCCAAACUGGAAAUUUGAAGCUUCUCCUACUGACAGAAGAGCUUGAUUUUAUCGAACGAUGGGUGUCUUCCUUUCCCAUGAGAAAGAAGAAGAAUGUGCAGGAAAGAAGAUGAAUAUUGGUAAUAUAGCAUUUCACCUCUAUAUCUAAGGUCUAAAAACCUGUUAUAUCUUAAAUUUCAUCAAAUGGCGGCACAACAUUUUAUAAAUGAUAUAUUGUCGCAGGUUUUCUUAUGCUAAUAAUCUGUAAUCUUUCUGGCCAUGUAAAGCAUCUUUUCUGUAGGUUCUCAUUUUUAUGGUAAAGGAACAGAUACACAUUGCACAUCCUUUUCUUUUGAUGUAUGUGCAAUCUCACCUAACAUGAGUUUUUCACUCUCAUUCCAUAUAUAUAAUGCUGUACUACUCUUUUUAGACCAUCUUCUUGUUAUUUGUUGUUAUUGUAACUGCGUUCGGUUACCUCUGUCAAGUUAAACUCCAGUAGUCUAUUGAAGUGAUCCUUCUCUUCUAGGCUUUUAUCCCUAUAUCAAUGGCUUGGGUGUUUGUUGAGGCUAAUUUGUUAAUUCAGUUCAUAAAUUUGACAUCGCUUUAUAUUUACUGCUGUUACAUGUUUUGAGCUUGGGAGAUAUUCCAUGAUCUGCAAUUCUACCUGGGAUUUUGCACGGUGCCGGAUGCUGCAGAGUCUUAGGAGGGAGAUGGUGCAUAAUAAAAGAUGCAGAAGGGAAAACUCUCCUUGGAACAUUGCAAUAGUACGCGUUCUGCAACGGUUACUCGUAGCAUUGCAAAAUUCAACACAUUUUCCGUUUGCUAAGUUAUUCUACUUAUGGUUUAUGUAUUGUGAUGCAAUUGAACAAUAAAGUCCGUGGAAAAUUAUUGUCUUUCCGAUGUACAAAACCAAUGAGCUAAGUUGGUAGUGGGCAUCAAGAUGUGAAUGCACCAUGUAAUUCGCCAGUGUUAUGGUGUAACACAGAUAAGUUGGAAGCAAACUAGUUGUUGUAGGUUAA